ensembl:lncRNA
CGUAAAGCAUAUCAUGAUUAAUAUGUCGAUUACUUUUCUCCUUGGUGCUUACAUCAGUCACCUUAUCUUCCUUUCUUUCUCUCUUCUCCCUUACAUAUCUGUUUCUCAUCCUCCUUGAUUUUCUCCUUCCUGCCUCUGUUCUCUCUUGCACUUUGUUAGUUAUUUCUUGGUUAUUUCUCUUUUUCUCUACCUUCUCACCUCCCUUGUUUUUUUUAUGAAUGUCUACUCUGACUUUCCUACAACCCACUUCGAUCCUCCUCCUUGCUGAUCUCUCUCUAUAUGUCAAGCCCUGCAAACUGCUUGUCUGCACUCCUUGAAGGAGCAGGGACAGAGCAGGGUAAUGGGCUAGCAUGCUGGUUUCUGUUUUAAAUAAGAUGGUUCUGUUUAUCCGAAUAAUUGUGUGGAUAGCUCUGCUUUGGCUACAAAGCUUUUCCAGAAUACUGAGCUUGAAAAUUCGUUACAAGAAGGAUCAGAGAUGCAAACCAUGCCUUUGGUUUGAAGAAGCAUACAGACAAAAAUAAAAGAAAACAACACAGAAGUAACUUGUUUCUUCUUGCAAGGCAUUUUGAGAUCUGAAGGAUCAAACUCUCACCCAGAAACAUACACUUGAGCAUACAGAAGUUGUUUCAGACAGAAAAUAUACAUUGAUGUCAUCUCAGAAACUGGAAGGAAAGGAACCAGAGACUGCAAGAAUAAGCUGUGUUAGAGGCUCUUACAAAGAGGUCCAAUGGAAGGAAUAUUUGUUGGGAUGUGGUUCUGAAAUGGCUGUAUGAAAUCGCAGGGUUUCUGGAUGAUAUUUCAUGAAAUGGGUGAACUAAUCUAACAGCUUGCUUCUGACAAGUGGGCUUCCCCAGAAAGAAAGGGGCUGAAGGGGCCAGAGGAGGGCUCAGCUUUCUCAGCUGAGACUGAUGGUCAACCAUGGAUCAUCUCUUUUACUCCUGUGGCUACAUGGCAUUUCAUUGCUGUGAACAUCUGGACAGAACCUGCUGCAAAUCUUUUUCGAUUGCAACUCCAAUGAUUUGGGCAAAUGAGAAAAGGAAAACUGAAAAUAGAGGGGCUAGGAAGGCAGAAGUUUGCACUGACAAAGAAGAUCUAGCACUGCAGUUUACAUUUCUGUACUCUGCUACCAAGUAUUGUUUGCUUCUUAAUGGUUUUCUUUGUUGCAUACAGAUCUGACUGCUCUGCUCUGAAGUCUACCCUUCUGUGUACAUCUGAGAUGGUUCAGAGCUUGUUUAAUCAUUUGCAGCUCCCUGCUUGUUUGUAAGGAGAUGGGAAGCCAUAGUGAUGUCAAAAGGAUUUACUGAAAUACACAGACAGAGCAAACAAUCGACCCAAACCAAGAUAAUGUGACUGCAUGACCCCCAAACAAGCAAGAGUAGAGAUUAACAUUUAAAUUCAUACUUAAUUCUGUAACAACUAUAAAUAUCAUCUCAUCAAUUGCUAUCCCAAACUUUCAUUAGAGACAAAAUAAUCCAAAGGAUUAAGAGCUUCUAUCACAUUCCUCCACAUUCCCAAAUCCAUCAGCCAGCAUAGGAAGAAAUUCCAAUAUACAGCAAGUACAUACAGAGAUAAUCAGAGCUCAGUACAUGAAUAGAAGUAGCUUGGAUUUCCCAUGGCCUUAAGCAAAGAUAUUUCUCAAAGUAACCAUAAUAAGUAGCUGCAACACAUGCUUACAGUCUCCUCAAUACAACAGAUAGCAUGUUUUCAGACUCUCUGUGUUGAAAAUAAUAAUAAUUUUAAAAAAAAUCA